GGAAGUAAAAGUCAUAACAAGGUCUCCGUAGGUGAACCUGCGGAGGGAUCAUUACAGAGUUCAUGCCCUACCGGGUAGAUCUCCCACCCUAUGUUAUUAUUACUUUGUUGCUUUGGCGGGCCGUUAGGCUCCGGCCCGACUACCGGCCCCGGCUGGUAAGCGCCCGCCAGAGGACCCAAAACCCUGAAUAUUAGUGUCGUCUGAGUACUAUAUAAUAGUUAAAACUUUCAACAACGGAUCUCUUGGUUCUG
rnacentral:misc_RNA from 1 species